UUCCAGACUCUUACGGGAGGCAGCAGUGAGGAAUAUUGGUCAAUGGGCGCGAGCCUGAACCAGCCAAGUCGCGUGAGGGAAGACGGUCCUAUGGAUUGUAAACCUCUUUUGUCGGGGAGCAAAAGACGCCACGUGUGGCGUUCCGAGAGUACCCGAAGAAAAAGCAUCGGCUAACUCCGUGCCAGCAGCCGCGGUAAUACGGAGGAUGCGAGCGUUAUCCGGAUUUAUUGGGUUUAAAGGGUGCGCAGGCGGAAGAGCAAGUCAGGGGUAAAAUUGGGAGGCUCAACCUCUUCGAGCCGUUGAAACUGGUUUUCUUGAGUGAGCGAGAAGUAUGCGGAAUGCGCAGUGUAGCGGUGAAAUGCUUAGAUAUUGCGCAGAACUCCGAUUGCGAAGGCAGCAUACCGGCGGCGAUCUGACGCUGAGGCACGAAAGCGUGGGUAUCGAACAGGAUUAGAUACCCCCGUAA
rnacentral:rRNA from 1 species